AGCGAACGCUGGCGGCAGGCCUAACACAUGCAAGUCGAACGGAUCCUUCGGGAUUAGUGGCGGACGGGUGAGUAACACGUGGGAACGUGCCCUUUGGUUCGGAACAACUCAGGGAAACUUGAGCUAAUACCGGAUGUGCCCUUCGGGGGAAAGAUUUAUCGCCAUUGGAGCGGCCCGCGUCUGAUUAGCUAGUUGGUGAGGUAACGGCCCACCAAGGCGACGAUCAGUAGCUGGUCUGAGAGGAUGAUCAGCCACACUGGGACUGAGACACGGCCCAGACCCCUACGGGAGGCAGCAGUGGGGAAUCUAGCGCAAUGGGCGAAAGCCUGACGCAGCCAUGCCGCGUGAAUGAUGAAGGUCUUAGGAUUGUAAAAUUCUUUCAGCGGGGACGAUAAUGACGGUACCCGCAGAAGAAGCUCCGGCUAACUUCGUG
rnacentral:rRNA from 1 species